GAUACCGAGGGUGGGAGCGGUAAUCGGAUUUACUGGGCGUAAAGCGUGCGUAGGCGGCUUUUUAAGUCGGAUGUGAAAUCCCUGAGCUUAACUUAGGAAUUGCAUUCGAUACUGGGAAGCUAGAGUAUGGGAGAGGAUGGUAGAAUUCCAGGUGUAGCGGUGAAAUGCGUAGAGAUCUGGAGGAAUACCGAUGGCGAAGGCAGCCAUCUGGCCUAAUACUGACGCUGAGGUACGAAAGCAUGGGGAGCAAACAGGAUUAGAUACCCUGGUAGUCCAUGCCGUAAACGAUGUCUACUAGCCGUUGGGGCCUUUGAGGCUUUAGUGGCGCAGCUAACGCGAUAAGUAGACCGCCUGGGGAGUACGGUCGCAAGACUAAAACUCAAAUGAAUUGACGGGGGCCCGCACAAGCGGUGGAGCAUGUGGUUUAAUUCGAUGCAACGCGAAGAACCUUACCUGGUCUUGACAUAGUAAGAACUUUCCAGAGAUGGAUUGGUGCCUUCGGGAACUUACAUACAGGUGCUGCAUGGCUGUCGUCAGCUCGUGUCGUGAGAUGUUGGGUUAAGUCCCGCAACGAGCGCAACCCUUUUCCUUAUUUGCCAGCGGGUUAAGCCGGGAACUUUAAGGAUACUGCCAGUGACAAACUGGAGGAAGGCGGGGACGACGUCAAGUCAUCAUGGCCCUUACGACCAGGGCUACACACGUGCUACAAUGGUCGGUACAAAGGGUUGCUACCUAGCGAUAGGAUGCUAAUCUUAAAAAGCCGCUCGUAGUCCGGAUUGGAGUCUGCAACUGGACUCCAUGAAGUCGGAAUCGCUCGUAAUCAAGGAUCAGAACGCCGCGGUGAAUACGUUCCCGGGCCU
rnacentral:rRNA from 1 species